rnacentral:rRNA from 1 species
GACGAACGCUGGCGGCGUGCUUAACACAUGCAAGUCGAACGGAAAGGCCCUGCUUGCAGGGUACUCGAGUGGCGAACGGGUGAGUAACACGUGGGUGAUCUGCCCUGCACUUCGGGAUAAGCUUGGGAAACUGGGUCUAAUACCGGAUAGGAGCCAUCUUUAGUGUGGUGGUUGGAAAGUUUUUUCGGUGUAGGAUGAGCUCGCGGCCUAUCAGCUUGUUGGUGGGGUAAUGGCCUACCAAGGCGGCGACGGGUAGCCGGCCUGAGAGGGUGUACGGCCACACUGGGACUGAGAUAGGGGCCAGACUCCGACGGGAGGCAGCAGUGGGGAAUGUUGCACAAUGGGCGCAAGCCUGAGGCAGCGAGGCCGCGUGAGCGAUGAAGGCCUUCGGGUUGUAAGCACCUAUCGCUAGGGACGUGUCUUUUUUGUGACGGUACCUAGAUAAGAAGCACCGGCUAACUACGUG